CCUUCUCCCAGGGGAGCAGAGAAGCUGCUGUCACCCCUUCUAUCCUGUCCUCUUGCCUAUGCCAGCACGAUGUAGGGCUGUAGGUUGCCCUGUUACCUCAGCUAAAUGACACACACAACUCACUUUGAUGAGAGGUGGACUGCUGGCCCAACUGCGUGCACCCAGACCGACUUCCUAACGCCCUCAAGAGCAUCACACUUUCCAAAGUGCAUCUUCAGCUUCUUCACCAGGUAAGAACAAUAUCUCCGUGCUCUGGUGACAGCACCCAUCAACACCUCUCUCAGCUGUUCCAGUUCUUCAUACACCAUUCCUGGCCUGAAGCGUCUGUUCUUCCAGAAAU